AGACCAGCCACGUCUGCAAGGAAGUAGCUAGAGCUUUCAACCCUGAAACCCACGACGAUGCGAAGCACCUCUGCCUCGACGAGCAACAUGAGCGGAAGGCCCAGAUGAAGAAGUACCUGUGAACAGCAACACAAACGGUAAAUACAUGGGUAUUGACCCCUAAACUGAGAAUGGAAUUAUAAACCACAAGUAUAUAUAAGACAUAACCUGCAGCAUGAUGAGAACUGGAAGCAAAAGAAGGACCCCGAUACGCCUCAGGUGAAGGUGGGACGACCUCGAGCGGCACCGGACUAUCAGGAGGAACUACUUCCAACGGGACAGGCUCUGCAUAGAUUGAACCAGGAUAAGUUACAACACUAGUAGCUGUAGCAAGUAAACCCAGAAGAAAAUUUGCAUAUACCUGUAGAAUGUGGCCCUGGAACCCUACAAGACAUCGGCGAUGUCUUCCUCUCUAAGUACUCCCACUGGUCAAAGAAUGGUCGAUAGAAAUCAUGACUAAUAUCCGACACACCUCUGAAGUCACCAACGGUACGAAGCACCAAAGCCAUGAUGUAUGGCUGAAACGCUAGAGGUGAGUGCACAUCCCACUUGCACUCCAGCAUUUUGUUCACCAUGCAGUCCAACAGGUUAAGCUUUUCCCCGGACAUCACAGCAGUUAUCAUCUCAUAGAAGGGCCAACCAAUGGCCUUGUCAUUAGCUCCCGCAGAAGGCACUAUUGUACGCCUCAGAAUCUCAUAAAUCAGCUUCGGAAUCCUCCUCAAGCCUCCUUGUGGACCAUACACGGAUGUCUCCUGGUAAUAGAAACCUUUGACAUCACCUGACUGCUGUUAGAAUUCUGGACUCUGAAAGAGAUGGAAGAAGAACACACACACGCUAUCUGGACACAGGAGCUUUGGUGCUGCAAGCGGCAGCGUUUUCUGUUGAUUGUAUUCACUAUAUAAGGGAAUUACAUGCUGUGUUACAAGGAAACAAAAGAACCAGCUAAUCCCGGCAUACUCAUGAUCAGAGGUUGCCAUCCCAACCUCCUGGGCCAUGCCGCAAUCCGUGGCUUGCCUCUAAUGGCUGCUGCCUUCUACAAUUAGAUGCUCAGGACUUAUUCAAACAUUCUCCUCCUAAGUCCUAGAGCUGCUAGACUAAUUUCUUCAUGCCGAUCUGUCCACGGAGCUCGAUGAACCGAGUGCGCAAGUGCUUUCGUGAGCAUGUCACCUAGUUGCAGUUCGGUGCCGACGAACUCGACGUCGAUCAGCUUUUUGUCGCAGCACUCCUGGAUGAAGUGAAACUUCACGUCGAUAUGUUUGCUCCGGUCGUGAUGCACAGGGUUCUUCAUCAAGGCGAUGGCGGACUUGUUGUCCACCAUGAGCUUGGGUGCGUGAACCACACCUCUUGUGAGCUCAGCUAGCAAUCUUGCCAGCCAAACUGCUUCACACGCGGCUGCUGCUGCCGUUAUGUACUCGGCCUCACAGGAAGAUAAGGCGACCACCUUUUGCUUCGACGAUUGCCAAGCAACCGGACCACCAGCGAGGAAGAAGAUGAGCCCGCGCUCGUGCUCUUCCGAUCAUUGACGUCGCCCGCUAAGUCGCUAUCGGAGUAUCCCACCAGUCUAGGCGCCGAUCCCCUCCUUCCAGCCGGACGGUAGUGCACACCCCAAUGCACCGUGCCCGCAACAUAGCGAAGCACUCGCCUCACAGCGGCAAGGUGCUCUUGUCUCGGUGCCUCCAUGAACCUGCUGAGGUACCCGACCAAAUAGACCAGAUCCGGUCUGGAGUUGCACAGGUACCUCAAGCUCCCAAUGAGGCUGCGGUACUCUGUGGCGUCGACGGCCGUCAUUGUGCCUUCCAUGUGGAGCUUCAGCUUCAUCUCCAUGGGCGUGGCACUAGCGUUGCAAUCGGCCAACCUGGCCUUCUCGAGGAUCUUGGUGGCGUAGGCACUUUGACGCAGUGUGAUAUCGUGGCCACCUUGAGUGACCUCGAGCCCUAGAUAGUAAGAUAGGAGCCCGAGAUCGCUCAUGCAAAAUGUGUGCAGCAUCUGCGCCUUGAACUUCUUGACGGUGUCGGCAUCACCACCCGUGAUGAUGAGGUCAUCAACAUACACGCCUACAAUCAGGCGCUCAGCUCCGCUUCCCCGGGUGUACAUCCCGUGUUCAUCCACACAGCGCGUGAACCCGAGGCCCAACAGCUCGGCGUCGAGCUUAUGGUUCAACGCCCUUGGCGCUUGGCGGAGUCCGUAGAGUGCCUUGUGGAGGCGCAUCACUUUGUUCUUGUGCUUGUCGUCGACGAAUCCCGGGGGUUGAUGAAAGUAGACUUCUUCCUGGAGCUCACCGUUCAAGAACACCGACUUGACGUCCAUGUGAUGAACGCCCCACCCGAAAUGAGCAGCUAUGGCGAGCACCAGUCUCACAGACUCGAGUCUGGCAACCGGGGCGAACACCUCUUCAAAAUCAACACCGGGACGUUGUACGUACCCUUUGGCGACGAGGCGUGCCUUGUACUUGGCGAUGUUGCCCUUCUCAUCACGCUUCCCCUUGUACACCCGUUUCAAACCGAUGGCACAGUGCCCUUUAGGGAGUUGAACCAGCGACCAGGUCUGAUUGUCACGAAUUGACUUCAUUUCCUCCUCCAUCGCACCGACCCGGUUAGGAUCCGCCUCAGCCUCAUUGAUCAAUCUGGGCUCCUCCACACUCACCGCAUAGCUGACAGUGUGGAGUUUGGCUUCAACUGCGUCGUGGUGUGCCAGUCCAGGGGCUGCAUCCGAGCCGAGGAUGUUUUCCAGCAUCCGGUAACGGUGCUCCGCUUCCUCGUCAUCGUCUGCAUCAAGGUUGGGGUCGGUUAUGAGUGGCAUUGCAAACUCGAUGCAAGUCCCUGGUGCUUGCGGUGUCAAGGGCGAAGGUGCUGCUGUCGUCGCGCUAGGUGCCGUUGGAGACACUGUGCGCGGCACCGAUGAGGCUGACGCAGAGCACGGUGUCGAUGUUGCCGGAGUUGGCGUGCGUGCCUCGGGAGAGAUGGGCUGUGGGGCCGGUCCCUCAACUUGUUGGUGCCGCAGCUUGUACUCCUCUGUGACGGUGAAGGGGUGCACGUCGAUGGUGUCCGUGGCACCUCCCUAGUCCCAGUGUGCUCCCUCGUCGAAGACGGCGUCGCGCGAGACGUGGACGCGCUCGGCGUCUGGGUUGUUGAAGCGGUAGGCCUUGGCCCCAUCUUGGUAGCCGAUGAAGACCACCUUGCGCCCGCGAUCGUUGAGCUUUCCGAGGUGUGGGCGUACGUUCUUGAUGUAGGCCACGCAUCCGAACACAUGGAGAAAGUGCACGGCGGGCUUCUUCUCGUACCACGCCUGGUAAGGGGUCUCACCGUUGAGCACGCUGGUGGGCGCCCGGUUGAGGAGAAAGAUAGCAGUAUGCACUGCCUCCACCCAGAAGUGCCCGGGCACUCCACGUGCUCGCAGGAUGCUCCUCGCUGUCGCCACGACUGUCUGGUUUCGGCGUUCCACCACGCCAUUUUGCUGUGGCGUGUAUGGAGCCGAGUGAUGACUCUUUAUCCCUUCUCCUGCAUAGUAUUCACCAAACGUGACAGAGGUGAAUUCACCUCCAUUGUCGGUCCGGAGUACCUUCAGCUUCUUGCCGGUUUCACGUUCCACUUGCGCCUAGAAUGUCAUGAUGGCCGCCGGUGUGUGUGGCGUGAUCGGGCCACAAAGGUCUCAAUGGACCAGCUUGAGCUCCUCCUGAGCUUGGUACUUGGCGGCCUUGGGGAACGACUUCCUCUUUUGUUUUGCCAGGACGCAGACCUCACAAACUUGAUCGACAUGAUCGAUCGCUGGCAGUUCGUGUACAUUGCCGCUGCGUUCAAGCUUGCGGAGUGCCUGGAAGUUGACGUGGCCAUACCUCUCGUGCCAACGCCAUGCCACAUCCCCGACACGCGUAGUGAGGCACACUGGAGCGGCGAUGUUCAUGUCGAGGAGGUAGAGCCGUCUGGGUGACCGCAGCACCUUGGCGAGUAGUUGCCGCUGCAGGUCGAAGACACGUAGGAUCCCUUCCUCGAUGACGACCUUGAAUCCUUCCUCAUCCAUCUGCUCGAGACUCACAAUGUUGGUCGUGAGCCGCGGUAUGUAGUAGACCCCAUCGAGCCGGUGGUGUUCACCGGAUUUGAGGGCGAAGAGCACAGUGCCCUUCCCCUCGAUGUCGACCAUCGACCCGUCACCAAACUUCACAAUUCCCGUGACGCUGGUGUCAAGCUCGGCGAAGAGACGGCGUGACCCCGUCAUGUGGUUCAUCGCCCCGGUAUCAAGCACCCACCGGCAAGGGGCCACCACCUCCUUCUCCUCACUGCUGAGGUGGAGGAGAACUUUGCGCUCAUGGAUGUGGAUCGGAGCCUGCGGGGAUGAGGUAGGUGAUGCCGACACGGAAAGUGGGCACGAGCGAGGCGGCGUGAUUACCUCUGUCUCUGCCACGAGGUACAUCAGGGCCCGCUCUUCUUCUUGAGCUUCAGCGACAUGAGCCGCGUUCUUCUUCUUGCCACGACAGUCUUUGGCCCAAUGGCCCCCCUUUCCGCAAUUGAGGCAGAGGGUGCCCACCGGUGGCUUCCCGCCGCCACCGUUCCCGACGGCCGUGUUCUUGCCAUCUCGGUCGUUCUGCGACGUGGAUCCCCGUCCGCGUCCACGAUCUUGGCGCCUGCCGCGGUUGCUGGAGCUCGAGCCGCCACCAGAGUUUUCCUGCUCGCGGCGUUCCUUGCGGCGGGCUUCCCAGUCUUCCUCGCACAGCACCAGGCGCCCCAUGGCGUCCGUGAUCUAUGCGGGCUUGGCGCGCUCCUCGAACACGCGGAGACGACCGAUCACCUCCUCGAUCGUCACCUUGUUCAGAUCAAGGAACAUCUCGAGGGACACCGCAUCUUGGGCUAACCGUUCUAGUACCAUUUGCAACAACUUCUUUACCACUUCGCCGUCGGUGAUGUUGUCGCCGAGGGUGCGGAGGUUGGGGGCCAGCGUCAUGAUGCGGAUGCCGAACUCGGUGACGCUCUCGCCUUCCUUGAAGGAGAGGAUGCCGAAUUCUCGGUGAAGCUGGAACCCAAUGGUAACAAACAGCUGGAACUGCCGACAUGUCCAUCGGUUGUGUUCCUUCAUCAUCAUCUCCGAAAGAAUCAGCCCUUGAUCUCUUCUCCUCCCGACGAUUGGAACCUGCACCAAACCUGCAAUGCAAGAAGAAAGAUCAAUAGAUACUAGACUUGAAUUUGGAUAACAGAUAAAACAGGUUGGAAUGAAAUAAUCAGCAAGGAACAGACACUGACGGAGUAUUCACCAAGGUCCGCGGACUGGCUGUCGAGUUUGUACAUUGCAGUGAUAAAUCAGAACGAGAGCAAAUACAAGUCCUGGAACAUUUAACCAGAGGUAACGGAACUUUCUGCCCACAGAGAUCAUCCAACCAGAAGAGAAUCAACCGCUACAAACUAGUUUUGUGGAGUGUCUGCGAAUUUUCACGGACCAUCCGCUAAAGCUACAGGCAGUGUCAGCAAGUAAACUGAACUUUUUUGAGUAACUACUAAACCAGCAGAAUAUUCCACCAGAUCUAACGGACCAUCUGUCAACCGUCGAAGACAGAAAAAUUAGAACAGUAGCCGCAAAAACUGGAUCUCUCAUAUCUUCAACAUCAAGCAGUUUGAUCUCACCAAAAAUUGCACAAAGGUAUCCAUAGAAAUUCUUUACCAAAUCCCUAAGAAUGUUUACCCCUAAAUUUAACCAAUCAAGAGAUCAAGAAAACCCUAGAUUUGGCUGAAAAGGGAAUAAAACAAAAAGAAGCAAAGGUAUUUGAUGCAUACCUUCCCCUCAUGAUUGAAGAGGCGCGUGGAAGCAUCUAGACCACGGGAAUCCACCAAAGCACGUGCACGAAGAUGGCAAGGGCACAGGCGCGGCAGUGGGGGCGAUGGCCUCGACAGAAAUAAUAGAAAAAUAGAACCCCAUCAGUCAAUGUCAGCCUAUUUAUAGAUCGUGGAGUGAAGGAGAGUCCUUUAGCGUCCGAUGAUUGGACCGGACCGUCCAUGAGUUGGCAAAAGAUGCCUCAUGACCGCGUUUUCUAUCAAGACAAAUACAAAUAUUUCAAGACAUCAAUGAUGCACAAAGCGCACCUCGUACCUUUCUCAACAGCGUGCUUAUCAAGUUCAUCUAGAAUAUUGAUCAAUUUGCCCGAAAAAAUCUAUAGAUCAAAUAAAUAUUGGAAGUGUAAAGAUGUCAAACUCAGCAAGGCCCAAGAACUUGAAACCACAAGGAUUUAUGCUGGAAGUCGUUGUCCAAAAUGUCAAGGUGAGACAAUGGAUUAUACCUUGAAUCCUGGAGAGGAAAAAGCCUCUGAGUUGUACUAUAAGAUAUAAGAUAUCAUGACAGGACACCUAUCCUUUGGAAGCUUGUCCAAUUAUACUCCUUGGACGAGCUAUAUUUUAAGGAGGGGUGGUUUUGUAACAUCCCGAAAUGUCAUUCCAAUUUGAACAUUGCCCCUAGCCCUGUGAGAACUCUAUUGGAAGCUCUAAGCCUAAGUAAUUGUUCCCUUGUGAGAUCCAUGGUUUGGUGCCUUGAGCAUGUAUAAUUGCUAUGAUUUUGCUAGCUCAUAUCUAAUAUUAGCUAGCUAAUAGUUAGCUAAUAGUUAGCUAGCUAAUAUUAUAUAUGAAAAGGUAGCUAAUAGUUAGCUAGCUAAUAUUAUAUAUGAGCUAUUAGCUAGCUAACUAUGAGCAGAUAAUAAAUCCAAGAAGGACUUUAAUUAUCUUACUGUUCAUAACUGUACAACAUGCAGUAAUUUGGCCACAGAUGCUCUGGUACAAGUCUCCAAAUGCAUCAACGAUUAUUUUAUGUAUAUAUGAAUCACUUGCCUACAUCAACAAGAAAAUAAUAAAAAACUUCAGAUUUCACCAUCUGAAAUAUUGGUCAUUAGUUGCCUACUAGUCAUGAGACUAAUGAUUGUCAAUCAAGAAUAUAACAGAUUCUGCGACGGCAAGGAAAUGACGCCUCUACUUAUGAAGUAUAUGAUCUUCAUCCAUGACACAUCUUGGCUGCAUAGGAUCUUGUCAGACGAAGCAUUUUUGUUAUCCUACCCAAUAUUUUCGGCAGAAUCUCCUUUGUAUCUUAGCCUUAUCUCCCGAUCACAGCAAGGAUAGAUAAAAGGGUUACAAGCAUUACUUACAUCGGAGAAAUUAAGCAGAUACCAUACCAAGCACACCCGAUAGUUUUGGAUGACCAAACCAGAUAGUGACAAGUUUAAAGUACCAACACUCCACUUCAAUGGAUGGACAGCACACAGACCAGAAAGUUAACCUCAGUACUCAACCAACUAAAACCAUACAGUACAGUCAUGAAGACGACCAACAUAAAGUUUAAUUUGAAGCAGAACAGACAACGCAUGAUGCCAUCUCUGCUCCCAAAGACCAACCACGUCUGCAAGGAUGUAGCUAGAGCUUUCAACCCUUAAAACCACGACGAUGCGAAGCACCUCUGUCUCGACGAGCGACACGAGCUGAAGGUCCAGACGAAGAAGUACCUGAGAACAGCAACACGAACGGUAAAUACAUGGGUAUUGAACCCUAAACUGGGAAUGGAAUUAUAAACCACAAGUAUAGGACAUAACCUGCAGCACGAUGAGAACUGGAAGCAAAAGAAGGACCCCGAUACGCCUCAGGUGAAGGUGGGACGACCUCGAGCGGCACCGGACUAUCAGGAGGAACUACUUCCAACGGG
rnacentral:lncRNA from 1 species